rnacentral:rRNA from 1 species
UGAGGGGGGCUGCUCCUAGUACGAGAGGACCGGAGUGGACGCAUCACUAGUGUUCGGGUUGUCAUGCCAAUGGCACUGCCCGGUAGCUAAAUGCGGAAGAGAUAAGUGCUGAAAGCAUCUAAGCACGAAACUUGCCCCGAGAUGAGUUCUCCCUGACUCCUUGAGAGUCCUGAAGGAACGUUGAAGACGACGACGUUGAUAGGCCGGGUGUGUAAGCGCAGCGAUGCGUUGAGCUAACCGGUACUAAUGAACCGUGAGGCUUAACCUU